GAUGAAGAACGUAGCGAAAUGCGAUACGUAAUGUGAAUUGCAGAAUUCAGUGAAUCAUCGAAUCUUUGAACGCACAUUGCGCCCGCCAGUAUCCUGGCGGGCAUGCCUGUCUGAGCGUCAUUUCAACCCUCAUGCCCCUAGGGCGUGGUGUUGGGGAUCGGCCAAAGCCCGCGAGGGACGGCCGGCCCCUAAAUCUAGUGGCGGACCCGUCGUGGCCUCCUCUGCGAAGUAGUGAUAUUCCGCAUCGGAGAGCGAUGAGCCCCUGCCGUUAAACCCCCAACUUUCCAAGGUUGACCUCAGAUCAGGUAGGAAUACCCGCUGAACUUAAGCAUAUCAAUAAGCGGAGGA
rnacentral:misc_RNA from 1 species